rnacentral:rRNA from 1 species
AUUGAACGCUGGCGGCAUGCCUUACACAUGCAAGUCGAACGGCAGCACGGGAGCUUGCUCCUGGUGGCGAGUGGCGAACGGGUGAGUAAUACAUCGGAACGUACCCUGAAGUGGGGGAUAACGUAGCGAAAGUUACGCUAAUACCGCAUAUUCUGUGAGCAGGAAAGAGGGGGAUCGCAAGACCUCUUGCUUUAGGAGCGGCCGAUGUCGGAUUAGCUAGUUGGUGAGGUAAAGGCUCACCAAGGCGACGAUCCGUAGCGGGUCUGAGAGGAUGAUCCGCCACACUGGGACUGAGACACGGCCCAGACUCCUACGGGAGGCAGCAGUGGGGAAUUUUGGACAAUGGGCGCAAGCCUGAUCCAGCCAUGCCGCGUGAGUGAAGAAGGGCCUUCGGGUUGUUAAAGGACUCUUU